rnacentral:tRNA from 1 species
AUUUAAAUAGCUUAUAUUUAGAGCAUGACACUGAAGAUGUCAGGGAGAUUAAUUUAAUCUUUAGAUA